rnacentral:rRNA from 1 species
GUGGGGAAUAUUGGACAAUGGGGGGAACCCUGAUCCAGCCAUGCCGCGUGUGUGAAGAAGGCCUUUUGGUUGUAAAGCACUUUAAGCGAGGAGGAGGCUACCGAGAUUAAUACUCUUGGAUAGUGGACGUUACUCGCAGAAUAAGCACCGGCUAACUCUGUGCCAGCAGCCGCGGUAAUACAGAGGGUGCGAGCGUUAAUCGGAUUUACAGGGCGUAAAGCGUGCGUAGGCGGCUUUUUAAGUCGGAUGUGAAAUCCCCGAGCUUAACUUGGGAAUUGCAUUCGAUACUGGGAAGCUAGAGUAUGGGAGAGGAUGGUAGAAUUCCAGGUGUAGCGGUGAAAUGCGUAGAGAUCUGGAGGAAUACCGAUGGCGAAGGCAGCCAUCUGGCCUAAUACUGACGCUGAGGUACGAAAGCAUGGGGAGCAAACAGGAUUAGAAACCCCAGUAGUCC